rnacentral:rRNA from 1 species
AGCGAACGUUAGCGGCGGGCCUAACACAUGCAAGUCGAACGAGAAUGAGGGGCAACUCCUCUAGUAAAGUGGCGGACGGGUGCGUAACACGUGGGUAAUCUACCGUUCCGGCGGGGACAACAGGUACCGAAAGGAUUGCUAAUACCGCAUUCGUCGGCAGGGUCUACGGACUCUGCCGGGAAAGAUGGCCUCUCCUUGGAAGCUGUCACCGGAAG